ACUAAAGCAGAAAUUGAGUCUCACAAGCAGCAAUUGCAGUUACAAAAGUGUCAUGAUGGUGACCGACAGGCUGAUGCUGUGGUGCUGACGGGGGCGUCAGAUCAGGAAACACCUAAAAGGAAACUCAGAGCAAACACAGUCUACAGCAGCAUAAAUCCC